rnacentral:rRNA from 1 species
GCCCAAAAUUAAGCCUAAUUAACUCUCAUGUAUACCCCCACCCAAUUAAACCCAAUGAAACAUCUUGCCAGUCUAGUAGAGGUGAUCAAAAUGCUUAUUAGCGCUUUAUUUUCAGUACCGUAAGGGAAUAAUGAAAUAACUUUGAAACAGAUAUUAAGCCAAAUAUAGCAGAGACCACCCCUCGUACCUUUUGCAUCAUGAUUUAGCCAGUCUUGCUCAAGCAAAGCGAAACAUUAGUUUGACCCCCCGAAACUAGACGAGCUACUUCAAAACAGCUUCACAGAGCUAACCCAUCCCUGUUGCAAAAGAGUGGGGUGAUUUUUAAGUAGAGGUGACAAGCCUACCGAGCCUAGAGAUAGCUGGUUAUUCAGGAAAAGAAUUUUAGUUCAACCUUAAGCCCACACUAUUAAUGACAAAAGACCUAAAAACUUAAGAGCUAUUCAAAUAAGGCACAGCUUAUUUGAUAAAGGAGACAACCUAUUAAAAAGGGUAAAACAAAUUUUGCAGUUUAAGUGGGCCUAAAAGCAGCCAUCUUUUAAAAAGCGUUAAAGCUUGUACUCUUCUUAAAAUUAAUUCCUAAAAACUUCUUAAACCCUUUAUUUUUACUGAAUGAUUCUAUACCACUAUAGAAGCCACUAUGCUAAAACUAGUAACAAGAAAUUGAACUUCUCUAAAAUGUAAGCAUAAACCAAAAAGGACAAACCAUUGGUAAUUAACGUCAAUGAAACCCACAUAGCAACUUCUUCAAGAAAACCCUAUUCUCACUUACGUUAACCUAACACAAGCACAUUUCUAGAAAGAUUAAAAGAAAGGGAAGGAACUCGGCAAAUUUUAACCCCGCCUGUUUACCAAAAACAUCGCCUCUUGCUAAUUUAUAAGAGGUCCAGCCUGCCCAGUGACACAGUUAAACGGCCGCGGUACCCUGACCGUGCGAAGGUAGCAUAAUCACUUGUUCUCUAAAUAGGGACUCGUAUCAACGGCAUCACGAGGGUUAUACUGUCUCCCCUCUCUAAUCAGUGAAACUGACUUCCCCGUGAAGAGGCGGGGAUAACAAUACAAGACGAGAAGACCCCAUGGAGCUUUAAACCCAAUGACAACUUCUACCAACCACCCCCUCUAAGUACAGAAGCCAUGUACAUUGGUUUUAGGUUGGGGUGACCACGGAGCAUAACAAAACCUCCAUGACGAAUAGAUAUUCAUCCUAAUCCAAGAGCUACCGCUCUAAGAAUCAAAAAUUUGACGUACAAUGAUCCGGCAACCGAUCAACGAACCAAGUUACCCUGGGGAUAACAGCGCAAUCCAUUUCAAGAGCUCUUAUCGACAAAUGGGUUUACGACCUCGAUGUUGGAUCAGGGUAUCCCAGUGGUGUAGCCGCUACUAAAGGUUUGUUUGUUCAACAAUUAAAACCCU